AACGCUGGCGGCGUGCCUAAUACAUGCAAGUCGAGCGAACAGACGAGGAGCUUGCUCCUCUGACGUUAGCGGCGGACGGGUGAGUAACACGUGGAUAACCUACCUAUAAGACUGGGAUAACUUCGGGAAACCGGAGCUAAUACCGGAUAAUAUAUUGAACCGCAUGGUUCAAUAGUGAAAGACGGUUUUGCUGUCACUUAUAGAUGGAUCCGCGCCGCAUUAGCUAGUUGGUAAGGUAACGGCUUACCAAGGCGACGAUGCGUAGCCGACCUGAAAGGGUGAUCGGCCACACUGGAACUGAGACACGGUCCAGACUCCUACGGGAGGCAGCAGUAGGGAAUCUUCCGCAAUGGGCGAAAGCCUGACGGAGCAACGCCGCGUGAGUGAUGAAGGUCUUCGGAUCGUAAAACUCUGUUAUUAGGGAAGAACAAAUGUGUAAGUAACUAUGCACGUCUUGACGGUACCUAAUCAGAAAGCCACGGCUAACUACGUG
rnacentral:rRNA from 1 species